AAUGCACAUUGCAAGAAACGGGGAGGAGGUGAGGAGCCUCCAAUUGCCUGGGUCCAGUUCGACGAUCGACCAGUGGUCCUGUCUUCUCCAUGUCCUUCCCCAAAGUUUUCUACUGAACAGAUGACGGCUCUGCAAAUGAGGGAGCUGGUCCUGUGCAAUUAGUCUGGCAGGACCUCAACAGAAAAACCCUAGAGGUGGAUCACCAGAUUGCAGGGGUGUUACAGAGAGUUCAAGCCACUCACCAAAACAGAGUCGUGUCUGUUCCCAUCACAGGAACAGCAGGGGAGAGAUACAGAAGGAUUCUGCAGAGAACCCACGAAAGCUCCCCAUUAAAGACAAGUUCUGCUUUAAACGCUGACCGGGUCCAGAGAGUACAGAAGAGCUUACAACACUGUUACUCAGGCACUACUCUAGAAGCUGGAACCAAUGAAUGAAACAAGAAACUUCUCUCAAAGAGCUUACAGUCUAGAACAGAGACAAGCCAGAGGAAUAAAGUGGAAAAGAUUAUGGUGGUACAUUUGGACACUAUGGGAGACUAUCUUUGUCAUAUUUUUGGGAAGUCUGGAAUUAUCCCAAGGGUUCAUACCCUGAAAGGAGAAGCAGCUGCCAUUUCCUUUAUAUUUGUGUGUGUAAUUGAUAAGGAAGGCCAUGGAGGGAAUCUGAAGCCAGUCUUCAAUAUCUGCUCACCCAGGCAGGGGGAAACCAUCAGACAGGUAUGGCCCACUGAGCAGUGUCCCUUUAGAUC